CCGCGCCUCCUUGCUGCCCUGUGGCGAGCACGUCCUUGCUACUGCAUGUCCUCAUGGCUGAUCAACCAAUCAACCGGACUUGAAAAAAAUUGAAAAAAAUUGUGUUGACCAAAAAGUCAAACCCAAUUAAAAAAAACCAAACCGAACUGGUCCUAAUAAGUUCCCAUUUCGGUUCUACACCCCAAUGAAUCGAACCGAGCAUAACCGAACCCG
rnacentral:lncRNA from 1 species